rfam:Atopobium minutum 10063974 genomic scaffold acnkJ-supercont1.1, whole genome shotgun sequence.
GCUCUGGUCGGAAACCAGAGCCGUUAGAAGGAG